AACGAACGCUGGCGGCAGGCUUAACACAUGCAAGUCGAACGCACCGCAAGGUGAGUGGCAGACGGGUGAGUAACGCGUGGGAACCUACCCCUUGGUACGGGAUAGCUCCGGGAAACUGGAGAUAAUACCGUAUGUGUCCUGAGGGACAAAGAUUCAUCGCCAAGGACUGGGCCCGCGUCGGAUUAGCUAGUUGGUGGGGUAACGGCCUACCAAGGCGACGAUCCGUAGCUGGUCUAAGAGGAUGAUCGGCCACACUGGGACUGAGACACGGCCCAGACUCCUACGGGAGGCAGCAGUGGGGAAUAUUGGACAAUGGGCGCAAGCCUGAUCCAGCCAUGCCGCGUGAGUGAUGAAGGCCCUAGGGUUGUAAAGCUCUUUCACCGGGGACGAUAAUGACGGUACCCGGAGAAGAAGCCCCGGCUAACUUCGUGCCAGCCGCCGCCGUAACAC
rnacentral:rRNA from 1 species